GUUUGAAGUAGUUGCGAAUUUCUGGUCUCUUCGCCUUCAUCGUGGGCGUCAGCAGGCCGUUCUGUACCGAGAACGGAUCUGGGUGCAGGUAUAUAUCUUUCACCUGGAACAAACGUGGUAUAAUGCAUCCGAGGGCACAUCGCGCGAAGGUCAGGACGUUGCCAGCCAGCGGGGCCGACCCCACCACCAUGAUGCGGAGCCUGCCGCCCAUGCCCUCGCGCACCUUGCGGAAUACCAACUUGUCCCAGAUGGAAUCGCUUCGGAUUAUACCUCUGUAUAAGAAUAAUUAAAAUUGUAUAUUUGAUUUUUUAUGCGAUACAAGAUUUUGAAAGAGACAUACAAGGCAAAUCGAAUGCUAGGCAAUUAUCUCUGAAAAGAAUGAAAAUAACUAAACUGGAACAGUAAUAAUAAUGAAUACAGAUUCUUACGACAAAAAAGCUACUUACUUACUAUUUAGAUACAAGAGUAGUAAAAUAUAAUACAUUUUAUUAUCGCUCAA